AGUGAACGCUGGCGGUAGGCCUAACACAUGCAAGUCGAACGGCAGCACAGUAAGAGCUUGCUCUUACGGGUGGCGAGUGGCGGACGGGUGAGGAAUACAUCGGAAUCUACUUUUUCGUGGGGGAUAACGUAGGGAAACUUACGCUAAUACCGCAUACGACCUACGGGUGAAAGCAGGGGAUCUUCGGACCUUGCGCGAUUGAAUGAGCCGAUGUCGGAUUAGCUAGUUGGCGGGGUAAAGGCCCACCAAGGCGACGAUCCGUAGCUGGUCUGAGAGGAUGAUACGCCACACUGGAAUUGAGACCCGGUCCAGCCUCCAACGGGGGGCGGAAGGGGGGAAUUUUGGAAAGGGGGCGGAAGCCUGACCCGGCCAGUCCGGGGGGGGAAAGAGGGCCUUCGGGUGGUAAAGCCCUUUUUUGGGGAAAAAAAAGCAGCAGGUUAAUCCCCCGCUGUUUGAAGGGCACCAAAAGAAAAAGCACCGGCAAACUGCGG
rnacentral:rRNA from 1 species